rnacentral:rRNA from 1 species
GACGAACGCUGGCGGCGUGCCUAAUACAUGCAAGUAGAACGCUGAAGGAGGAGCUUGCUUCUCUGGAUGAGUUGCGAACGGGUGAGUAACGCGUAGGUAACCUGCCUGGUAGCGGGGGAUAACUAUUGGAAACGAUAGCUAAUACCGCAUAAUAGUAGAUGUUGCAUGACAUUUGCUUAAAAGGUGCAAUUGCAUCACUACCAGAUGGACCUGCGUUGUAUUAGCUAGUUGGUGGGGUAACGGCUCACCAAGGCGACGAUACAUAGCCGACCUGAGAGGGUGAUCGGCCACACUGGGACUGAGACACGGCCCAGACGCCUACGGGAGGCAGCAGUAGGGAAUCGUCGGCAAUGGACGGAAGUCUGACCGAGCAACGCCGCGUGAGUGAAGAAGGGUUUCGGAUCGUAAAGCUCUGUUGUAAGAGAAGAACGAGUGUGAGAGUGGAAAGUUCACACUGUGACGGUAUCUUACCAGAAAGGGACGGCUAACUACGUG